UCAGAGUGUGCUCUUCCGAUUGCUUUGUGCCUGCCACCUAGUGUAAAAUAAAAUCAAGUAAUACAAUCUUAACUGUUGUGGCCUUUUUUCAAAAGAAUUGGUACUGUUUAAGGCCAAAAGUAACAGUUUAUAGACCUGUUAGUUUCACCUUGGCUUUUACAUUCAAAAGGAUUUGUAUUGCAUUGAAUUUAUAAACUCUGACUUGUGAAAACCAUAGUUGAUCUAUUUUCUUCCAGCCCAAUGUCUAGACUUGUUGGUAUUUCCAGUGAUAUUUCCCUUCCCCCCU